GCCGGGAUGGUCUAAUCGGUUAAGGCGUCGCCCCGGACAGAUGAAGGGUGCGGGUUCGAUCCCCGCUCCUGGCC
rfam:Ixodes scapularis strain Wikel colony gcontig_1108379634646, whole genome shotgun sequence.